CCUACGGGAGGCAGCAGUGAGGAAUAUUGGUCAAUGGCCGUAAGGCUGAACCAGCCAAGUCGCGUGAGGGAAGAAGGAUCUAUGGUUUGUAAACUUCUUUUAUAGGGGAAUAAAGGUAUCCACGUGUGGAUAUUUGCAUGUACCUUAUGAAUAAGCAUCGGCUAACUCCGUGCCAGCAGCCGCGGUAAUACGGAGGAUGCGAGCGUUAUCCGGAUUUAUUGGGUUUAAAGGGUGCGUAGGUGGUUUUUUAAGUCAGCGGUGAAAGUUUGUGGCUCAACCAUACAAUUGCCGUUGAAACUGGAAGGCUUGAGUGUGUUUGAGGGAGGCGGAAUGCGUGGUGUAGCGGUGAAAUGCAUAGAUAUCACGCAGAACUCCGAUUGCGAAGGCAGCUUACUAAGCCAUGACUGACACUGAUGCACGAAAGCGUGGGGAUCAAACAGGAUUAGAUACCCUUGUAGUC
rnacentral:rRNA from 1 species